AAAGCUAUGCUUUUAGGGAUCAUUUCUCUAGUUGGUGACUGGAGAAGAAUGGUUAUAAAAGCCUGGCCUUGCUAAUCACAAUGAAUUACUGUAGUGUUUCUUUCUAAGCAUGAUAAUAGCAGAGAGUGCUAUUCUGUGAUAGCUGUUUUCUGUUGUGGAAGGGUGUCUUGUUUUUCCUAGCAAGAACAAGGGAAAGAAACAGUCUGAGUGAU